GUAGACCUGCGCACCGAGGAAGAACGCUCACCAGUCUCGAACGGGGCGAAACGUCCGUUUUGCUGACUUCCGAUCGCAGAGUAAUACUGUAGGGUGGGAGCGGCACGGCCGGGUGGUAGCGCGGUCUGUUUCCCUAACCCGGAGGUUGCUGGUUCGAUGCCCGGCCGUUGCGGCUAUGUCAAAGUGUCCUUGAGCAAGCGACGGAACCCCCUCCACUUGGUCCCGGUUCUGCAUCACCAGUCGGUGAAUGAGGCAACGGCGCUUUGAGUAUGCGCAGGCGGCCAACGCGGGAGGAGGCCGGUCGUGGGAUGCAGACGGAGCCGUGUCAUCAAUUUGGCUCCGACGUCGCCGUCCACAAGACGGAAGAGGAGGACGGCAGGAAAAGCAAGUCACCUUCUCAUCUCAUCCGGCUGCCAUGUGCCCGAAUCUUGUGCGGGCGCCAAUCGCACCGACUAUCAAGCGCUCCGGACUGCGAUGGAUCCAAUCGUAAGUUGAUGCUGCGUGUUGCCAACCAUGGUUUCCCAACCACGAUCGUCAGACAUAUAUUGCUCAAUACGACCGCAGCGCAGUUGAAAAGAACAGCUUGUGUCGUUAUUCGACACAUUUGCUCAUGUGACUCCCUCAUAAAAAGUAUCGCGUAUUCCCCACUAAAAGUUGCUCUGGAGUAUAGAAGUCGCAACGGCCCCAAAAUUCAUAACAAAGUAGAA